rnacentral:rRNA from 1 species
AGAGUUUGAUCAUGGCUCAGAUUGAACGCUGGCGGCAUGCUUACACAUGCAAGUCGAACGGUAACGCGGGGCAACCUGGCGACGAGUGGCGAACGGGUGAGUAAUAUAUCGGAACGUGCCCAGUAGUGGGGGAUAGCCCGGCGAAAGCCGGAUUAAUACCGCAUACGACCUACGGGUGAAAGCGGGGGAUCGCAAGACCUCGCGCUAUUGGAGCGGCCGAUAUCAGAUUAGGUAGUUGGUGGGGUAAAAGCCUACCAAGCCGACGAUCUGUAGCUGGUCUGAGAGGACGACCAGCCACACUGGGACUGAGACACGGCCCAGACUCCUACGGGAGGCAGCAGUGGGGAAUUUUGGACAAUGGGCGCAAGCCUGAUCCAGCCAUGCCGCGUGCGGGAAGAAGGCCUUCGGGUUGUAAACCGCUUUUGUCAGGGAAGAAAUCUUCUGAGUUAAUACCUCGGGAGGAUGACGGUACCUGAAGAAUAAGCACCGGCUAACUACGUGCCAGCAGCCGCGGUAAUACGUAGGGUGCGAGCGUUAAUCGGAAUUACUGGGCGUAAAGCGUGCGCAGGCGGUUAUGCAAGACAGAUGUGAAAUCCCCGGGCUCAACCUGGGAACUGCAUUUGUGACUGCAUGGCUGGAGUGCGGCAGAGGGGGAUGGAAUUCCGCGUAGCAGUGAAAUGCGUAGAUAUGCGGAGGAACACCGAUGGCGAAGGCAAUCCCCUGGGCCUGCACUGACGCUCAUGCACGAAAGCGUGGGGAGCAAACAGGAUUAGAUACCCUAGUAGUCC